GAUGAACGCUGGCGGCGUGCCUAAUACAUGCAAGUCGAGCGAACAGACGAGGAGCUUGCUCCUCUGACGUUAGCGGCGGACGGGUGAGUAACACGUGGAUAACCUACCUAUAAGACUGGGAUAACUUCGGGAAACCGGAGCUAAUACCGGAUAAUAUAUUGAACCGCAUGGUUCAAUAGUGAAAGACGGUUUUGCUGUCACUUAUAGAUGGAUCCGCGCCGCAUUAGCUAGUUGGUAAGGUAACGGCUUACCAAGGCGACGAUGCGUAGCCGACCUGAGAGGGUGAUCGGCCACACUGGAACUGGGACACGGUCCAGACUCCUACGGGAGGCAGCAGUAGGGAAUCUUCCGCAAUGGGCGAAAGCCUGACGGAGCAACGCCGCGUGAGUGAUGAAGGUCUUCGGAUCGUAAAACUCUGUUAUUAGGGAAGAACAAAUGUGUAAGUAACUAUGGACGUCUUGACGGUACCUAAUCAGAAAGCCACGGCUAACUACGUA
rnacentral:rRNA from 1 species